GUUUAUAUUUUAUUUAUUUAUCUUUAUUGAUGUUUUCCUGAAAAUAACAUAAUAUAUUUUAAGUUUUUCAAAUUUAAAUGCACAGCAUUUAGGUCUCCAAAUUGAUUUGUAGUGGCUAAAGAAUCUUUCAAUGUCGACCAAGGAUAAUUGGACCUAUUGUAUAGUUGAUAUAUGUACAUGGUGUAAAUUAAAUACCCAUUGAUGUUUUCAUUUUUAUUCAGAAGAAUAUUUCUAAUAAGUUUUAACAUAAUUAUGGUUAUUGUCAAUAUAACUGUUACAUUUAAU